GAUGAACGCUGGCGGCGUGCCUAAUACAUGCAAGUCGAGCGAAGCGGGGACGGGGGCGUAACACGUGGAUAACCGCCUAUAACCCUGGGAUAACUUCGGGAAACAGGAGCUAAACCGGAUACUCAGAGAUCGAUCCGCGCUGCGUUAGCUAGUUGUUAAGGUAACGGCUUACCAAGGCAACGCCGCAUCGCCGACCUGAGAGGGUGAUCGGCCACACUGGAACUGAGACACGGCCCAGACUCCUACGGGAGGCAGCAGUAGGGAAUCUUCCGCAAUGGGCGAAAGCCUGACGGAGCAACGCCGCGUGAGUGAUGAAGGUCUUCGGAUCGUAAAACUCUGUUAUUAGGGAAGCGGUACCUAAUCAGAAAGCCACGGCUAACUACGUGCCAGCAGCCGCGGUAAUUC
rnacentral:rRNA from 1 species